UACGUAGGGUGCAAGCGUUAAUCGGAAUUACUGGGCGUAAAGCGUGCGCAGGCGGUGAUGUAAGACAGUUGUGAAAUCCCCGGGCUCAACCUGGGAACUGCAUCUGUGACUGCAUCGCUGGAGUGCGGCAGAGGGGGAUGGAAUUCCGCGUGUAGCAGUGAAAUGCGUAGAUAUGCGGAGGAACACCGAUGGCGAAGGCAAUCCCCUGGGCCUGCACUGACGCUCAUGCACGAAAGCAUGGGGAGCGAACGGG
rnacentral:rRNA from 1 species